GUGGGGAAUAUUGCACAAUGGGGGGAACCCUGAUGCAGCGACGCCGCGUGAGCGAAGAAGUAUUUCGGUAUGUAAAGCUCUGUCAGCAGGGAAGAAGAUGACGGUACCUGACCAAGAAGCUCCGGCUAAAUACGUGCCAGCAGCCGCGGUAAUACGUAUGGAGCAAGCGUUAUCCGGAUUUACUGGGUGUAAAGGGAGCGCAGGCGGUGCGGCAAGUCUGGUGUGAAAUUCCGGGGCCCAACCCCGGGACUGCAUUGGAAACUGUCGCGCUGGAGUGUCGGAGGGGCAGGCGGAAUUCCUAGUGUAGCGGUGAAAUGCGUAGAUAUUAGGAGGAACACCGGUGGCGAAGGCGGCCUGCUGGACGACAACUGACGCUGAGGCUCGAAAGCGUGGGGAGCAAACAGG
rnacentral:rRNA from 1 species